rnacentral:miRNA from 1 species
AAUACGUCUAGCUUUGGUAGCUUCU